AAACUGUCAGAUGGUGCGUCGCCUUGUUGAGGCUGAACGAUGUCUCUGUCUGCGAUGACAGCUGCUCGGAUACUGAGCUGAUUACAGCAGAUUCUCAUCAUGGUGAGUUCUGAUUGGCUGAGAGCGAGACAGUGGUGAUGAUCAACCCACGCCCAGGCCUCUCCACCCACGACCGAGGCCCACACCCAGGCCUCUCCACCCACGACCGAGGCCCACGCCCAGGCCUCUCCACCCACGACCGAGGCCCACACCCAGGCCUCUCCACCCACGACCGAGGCCCACACCCAGGCCUCUCCACCCACGACCGAGGCCCACACCCAGGCCUCUCCACCCACGACCGAGGCCCACACCCAGGCCUCUCCUGUCCAGCUUGAGGCCUACAAUGAGGAGUCUUGUUGUCUCAUUAUAUCAUUAUUUCGUUGCAUUGUUAUCAAAUUACCUCAUUAUCUCAUGAUCUAAAAAUACAAAAAAUUUACAUUUUUGUUCUUAAUAUAAGUAUAUUGUGUCUGAUAUAAGGCAAGUUAAAAAAAAUCCAGUUAGGACUGUCAGAGACAGCAAUGUCCUCAGUCUGUCUUGUAGAUAUUUGGCUUGUAUUAUAAAGGGGUGGCCACACCCACAAUUUACAGCACUAUGGCUUGAGACAUGCCCAUAAGACACAAUCCUGGAGUAACAUCAGCAAAUCCUGUAUAGUCACUCUCAUUACACAAUCAGGACAAAUCUCAAAUUUGAUCUCGGUCCGAUCCAGCGGCUCAGGGUGAGAUUACUGUUUCCCUGCUCUUGAAUAAUAAACAUCAACUUUUAGACUUUAA